rfam:Geosporobacter subterraneus DSM 17957 genome assembly, contig: EJ58DRAFT_scaffold00026.26
UAUUACCUGGGAUGUACGUUAAGACCUUGAAAUUCAACCUACAGAAAACAUCCGGGAGUUCGCGUUCCCUUGUGUAUGAAAAGCCUCCGUAGAGUGGACUUCAAAAGUAAGGGAUAGGGCACCCACCUAGGUGAGCCGCGGGUGUGAAUUUACAGGUAGACGGCAUUCUGGGAAGAUG